GGGGUGUAGAACCUAUUCAACAAAUGAGGAUGGCUCCAGAUAUGGUCAGUGCAAUUGCUCGAGAAGUUGUAUCUAUUCUUCAAUCAUCGUCUUCAGGAGAGUGUACUGCACGUAUGGAUGCUAGUGGGAUAUAUAGUUCUUCCUUGUUUGAGCAAAAAGUGGAUAAUAUUAUUUCAGCAGUGCAGGAUAUCAGACAAGAUAUUCAUAAUUUAGUCUAUCGUAUCGAAGAAUUAGAGAGAUGUUCGCCACAUACAGA
rnacentral:lncRNA from 1 species